AGCGAACGCUGGCGGCAGGCCUAACACAUGCAAGUCGAACGAACCUUUCGGGGUUAUUGGCGGACGGGUGAGUAACACGUGGGAACGUUCCUUUAGGUUCGGAAUAACUCAGGGAAACUUGUGCUAAUACCGAAUGUGCCCUUCGGGGGAAAGAUUUAUCGCCUUUAGAGCGGCCCGCGUCUGAUUAGCUAGUUGGUUGAGGUAAUGGCUCACCAAGGCGACGAUCAGUAGCUGGUCUGAGAGGAUGAUCAGCCACAUUGGGACUGAGACACGGCCCAAACUCCUACGGGAGGCAGCAGUGGGGAAUCGUGCGAAAUGGGCGAAAGCCUGACGCAGCCAUGACGCGUGAAUGAUGAAGGUAUUAGGAUUGUAAAAUUCUUUCAACGGGGACGAUAAUGACGGUACCCGGAGAAGAAGCCCCGGCUAACUUCGUG
rnacentral:rRNA from 1 species